GCAUACCGAUUUGGUUUGAAAAUGCCCUGUUCGCAACUUUUCGCCCGUUUGUUCAUGAAAAUGGCCACAAAAUGUUAAAUGGACCACACUGGGAUGAUCCCCAACCUCCCUGAUAUGCCUCGGUCGAUUUUUGUUGCACAGCACACCCAGACUACGGGCCCAAUCCUAAAAUUGUGGGCUAUAGCACACCGAUUUGGCCC
rnacentral:lncRNA from 1 species